CGCAGCGGUUUGGAACACCCCUGGCUGUGCCAUAGUGGAGGGGAUUCCCUGGUGUACUUUCACACUCCCUUUAGAUCGGGCUCAGCCAGGGGAGGGACGGGAGCAGGUGUUCUCACAUGGUUGCAAAUGGGACUGCUACGUCUGUGUGCAAGGAUAAGGGUGUGCCGCUCUCUAGAUGUCUCUUGGGAAAUCAUGCUGAGAGGUCUGUUCCCCACAGCAGUUUGCUGUUCUCUAGUUCCUUAAAGAUAAUUGAUUUUAAGUACUUCUGUAGAUUGUAUAUUGUAGUUUUCUCCCAGUGAUAGUGACGUAUUUCAUUCCAGGGAGAAAGCAAAAGGCCUUUUUUUUUUUUGUAACUCUUUUCUCUCUUUCCAAGAUUAUCCCGAAGGCAAUAAUUCAAGUGAUUAUCUUGUUCAAACAACAACGUAUCUCCCGGAAAACUUCACAUACUCACCAUACCUCCCCUGUCCAGAAAAGCUGCCUUAUAUGCACUGGCACACAACCUUUUAACCGUGCGAUGCUUUUCAAUGUGGGCUUCAAAGAGGCCAUGAAAGACAGUGUCUGGGACUGUGUAAUCUUCCACGAUGUGGAUCAUCUACCUGAAAAUGACCGGAACUAUUACGGAUGUGGAGAAAUGCCACGUCAUUUUGCUGCAAAGCUGGAUAAAUACAUGUAUAUUCUUCCAUAUAAAGAAUUUUUUGGUGGUGUAAGUGGGCUGACAGUGGAACAAUUUAGAAAGAUCAAUGGUUUUCCUAAUGCCUUCUGGGGAUGGGGAGGAGAAGAUGAUGACCUUUGGAACAGGUAUGUUGAGAGUUCACUAUGCUGGAUAUAAUGUAACCAGACCAGAGGGAGACUUAGGAAAAUACAAGUCAAUUCCUCAUCACCAUAGAGGUGAAGUCCAGUUUUUAGGACGGUAUAAAUUACUAAGGUAUUCCAAGGAGCGUCAGUACAUCGAUGGAUUGAACAAUUUAAUAUAUAGGCCAAAAAUACUGGUUGAUAGGUUGUAUACAAACAUAUCUGUAAACCUCAUGCCAGAGUUAGCUCCAGUCGAAGACUAUUAAAAGAAGUGGCUGUCGUGGCAAGGUAGACCACAAUGCUGGAUCAUAAACUUGGAGCGCACUCUUAGUGGAGGUCAGUGAUUGGCUGUGUCACAGUGCCCUUUUCUCUGAGAAGAGCCAGCAGUCCACAGUGUUUACAGAGUGGGACUAUAUACAGUCACCCUUCUCUCACCCGUCCUCCCUGCUCUGAGACACACCCCUGUGGCGAGCACCGCAGAAACGGGAAGCCACUACUUAAGAUCGGAAGUUAAGAGAGCUCCCUCCGAAGAGAAAAUUUUUAUACUAAAAUCUAUAAUUUAAUUCAAGAGAAUGCUUUUAUUUCCGUUUAAACAUAUUUUGUAUAUAUGUGAUAUAAAUUAAUGUGUGCAAAUUGUUGAAAAAUUAGAUGUGUUGCAGUUUUGCAUGUAAUCGGUUAUACCUUUAUUGGACUUUUAUAGACAUUUUUUAUUUGCAUGAAAAAAAACUCACUAAAUUUACAUCACUAAACAAAGGUUAACCCUUGUGUGAAAUGAAGGAACUGUCAAUAAUUGACAGCCAACUAAUACAGUAAACUGUUAUACUAGUUUUGAGCUUUAGACCUCAGCCUUUUGUGUGGAAGAAGUCAUAGCUUUCUUAGGCUUUAAAGGAAAAGAAGAAAGGACUUAAAUAGCUUUUCUUCCUACCGGGAUUACCUAUGUUUUUCCUUGCUUGCAAUCUCAUCUGAUUUUGCUAGAAAUCACAACCAUAUUGUUUAUGCAUAUUGCAUGAGUAUUACCAAGAAAAAUCUUUAAAGUUGUGAUGUGACAUGAUAUAAAGGAUCUCUUUAUGUUAAAUGUCUUUCAUGUACCUCUGGUGUGUCAGGGAUUUUGUGCCUCAAAAAAUGUUUCCAAGGUUGUGUGUUUAUACUCUGUAUUUUUUUUAAAUUCACGGUGAACAGCACUUUUAUUAUUUCCAGUUCAGAAGAGCCAAAAAAAAGUAUCUUCAUUUAAAAAGAAAUCAAGUCAGUUUUUUUAAAAGAAUGAUCUAUGGAAGAAAACCCAAUAGUACUUAUAAUAUACAAAUGAAUUAUACUAUUAGAUAAGAAUUAAAUAUUCUAUUUUUAUGAAGAUAAAUACUUAGUAGAUAAAAACAAAUUUUAAGUUUAGUUCUCAGACGUAGAAUUUCACUUUUGGAGGGGACCCUUGAAUGUUAGUUUCAUUCAAACUAUAUUUUGUUUUUUUCACUUUUAAGAGAUUAUAUCUCUGGUGUUAAUUACUAAAAUUUUCUUUCUAAAAGUAUAAUUUAAUAGAAUUAUCUUAAAAUACAUGAUCAGUUAUUCAGUGUGCUGAUAUUAUAAUGUCUUCUAUAUAUAGUAUCUAAAAGCAUAAUUUAAUAGAAUUAUCUUAAAAUACAUGAUGAGUUAUUUGGUGCACUGAUGCCAUAAUGUCUUCUAUAUGUAAUAUCUUACAUGUUUGCAUGAGUGUCAGGGCUUUAUCCAGUUAUCUUCAUAUGACUGUUCUCUGAAAAAAGGUCUUACUACCUGAUAUCAAGUACAUAUCUUAAUUUUGGAUGAAUUUUUCCACAGUAAAGCCAAACAGUAUUAUUUUUUGAAAAUUAGCAAUUAUAAAGAUUCUUUAAAAUAUCUUGAUAUUUUCACAAAUUUUAAACAAAAAAUUAAAUAUCUAUAAAGUGAAUGUUCAACAACAAUGAUGAGCAAUAGAAAUCUAUAUAUGAGAAACGUUUGGAUAAUAUUUGCCUCAAGGAUUGUUUACCUAAAACAGAACUAUGGUUAUUUAUCUCAGAUUGUGAGUUUUAUUUUGAAGUGUCAUUUUUAUGGCAAUAUUGAUAACACAAAUGACCACAAACUAAAUCAUAAAAUAAUUGAAUCCUUACAUUUUGAGAAAAUGGAUAGCUUCUCUGUUAUGAUACCAAACAAAAUAUUUUCAUAUUUAUUUCUUAGAACUAUUUCCAAAAUAUUUAUAUUUCAGUUUUUUUAUGGUACUCGAUGAAAAAUCAAACCUUCUGAAAAUUAUGAUAUUUGUACUUCAUUUGUGUAUUAGUUCAUUUUCUGUUUCUAUUACAUAAUUUUUAAAGUCAGUGAAAGAGAUUGAGAAUGUUAACAUUUGUUGAUCAAUGUGGAGCUGUCCACAUUCGGUAUCUUUUCAUUUUUAUAUAUAUUUUACAGUUUCAAGAAAACUUAGUACUACUAGUAUCUGCCUUAUUUUCUUAAGUCUGAUGUUAAUUUUUGUUUCAGGAGUGAGAUAUAAACAUUUUCCUUUUUUUCAGUUUUGAAAUAUGGUUUGUCAUCCUGUGAAAACCACCUAGUUUGCUUUUUGUUUGUUUGUUUUGCUUUUUUAGUGUAGACCUAAAAUUAUUUUUGCCUAUAAACAGUGAACUUAAUAUGUUUCUUUAAGAGUGACAGAGCUGUCCCCGUUUAUCUUCAUUGUAUUAAUUAUUACAUAAAGAUUAACAAAUACAUUGCAAAUGCAAAUUAUAGGAUGUUUGGAGGAUUUAUUAAUGAGCAUAUAUUGAUUGCCUAUUCCAUAUCCAGUGCAAUGCUAGGUAUGUCUAUGGAAGGAGUAUUAUUACUUCAUUUCUAAACAAGUGAAGUCAAGCAAAUUGAGAUCUUUCUGAAAUUAUGAAGACAUCUUCUGAUAACUUAUCUGUUGUAUUUCCUAGUCUCAAAGUCAAGAAACCCGUAUAUGUGGACCUAGGGCUAAUAGGAGGUCCCUAUGGCACUAACUGGGAAAAUUACAUGGUGCUUUUCAACUACAGAAAUAAGUAAUGACUAAUGGUCCUGUCUGUAGAGAAGAAAAGGAGAAGAGUACACAUUUGCUGGAACUAUAUAUAAUUCACAGUGGAGAUAGUUAAUUCUUUGCCAAAACUAGGGUUUUAUGAGUAUUUUUUAAAUCUACAUUUAAGUUUUUGUUUUUGUGAAAAGUUAUUCAGUAAGAAAACUUUAUAAUAUUAAGUAGAUACAGUUAUGUAUUAAAAAUUUCCUUAUAUACCCUUUUGCCAGCCAAGAUACUGAUAUUUUAAAACAAAAUGGAAAAAUGUCCAAUACAAUAUUCUCUUUCUGGAGGCUUCCUACAAGUGAAAGCAGAUUUUGUCAUUUUAUUUGGCCUUUGCUUGUCUUUGAUAUAUUUCUUUAUGUGUUUUUCAAAUACAUACUGUUGUAGAUUUAUUGUCUUGUAUUUGCAAGUAUGCCGGUUGAGAGAACUAAAAUGGUUAUAGUAUUGUUUAUCAGAAAGAGGAAGUGUACUUAAGAUUAUUUUAUUUAUUUAGAUGAAAGGCUUCUACAUAAAUGCACUGAAAUAAAUGCUAGUAAUUUCUUGUAUCCCACUUUUCUUCUUUUUUUGCUUCUCAUGGAAAUGUUUGUACUUUUUUAUCAUUGUCUUUUAUGAAAUAUAAUGUUCUAAAG
rnacentral:sRNA from 1 species